rnacentral:rRNA from 1 species
CCGGCACGGGUGAGUAACACGUAUCCAACCUGCCGUCUACUCUUGGCCAGCCUUCUGAAAGGAAGAUUAAUCCAGGAUGGCAUCAUGAGUUCACAUGUCCGCAUGAUUAAAGGUAUUUUCCGGUAGACGAUGGGGAUGCGUUCCAUUAGAUAGUAGGCGGGGUAACGGCCCACCUAGUCAACGAUGGAUGGGGGUUCUGAGAGGAAGGUCCCCCACAUUGGAACUGAGACACGGUCCAA